rnacentral:lncRNA from 1 species
UUGACUCUCUGGAGAGGAUUCCAACGUAGAAGGAGGCCAUAACUCUACUUUUCUAUUCCUUCUUGGGAUUUCUCUACAAGAGCGGAUUAUUAAUAUUAGUUUUUGCUGGAAUCUUAUGAGGAUUGAAUAUUAAUGCAUAUUCAGCAAUUGGGUUUGAUAGUUUCAUCUUUCAUCUUUCAAUUGUCGUUUGAUCAUGUUUAGAUUUGAUCCCAUAAUGGCUUUUGGUUCAGUCAUGAACUAAAC